rnacentral:tRNA from 1 species
GAGGGUGUAGCUCAAGUCGUAUAGUACUUGCUUAAAAUGCAUGAGGUCCUGGGUUCAAUCCCCAGUACCUCCU